GACGGACGCUGGCGGCGUGCUUAACACAUGCAAGUCGAACGGGCCUGUCUUCUUUUUUGGGGGUGGGUUGAGUGGCGAACGGGUGAGUAUCACGUGAGUAACCUGCCCUUCGGUCCUGGAUAACCGCUUGAAAGGGCGGCUAAUACGGGGUGGUCCGGUUGGUCCGCAUGGGCUGGUCGGGAUAGAUUCACUGUUUUUGGUGUUUCGGCGGGGGAUGGGCUCGCGGCCUAUCAGCUUGUUGGUGGGGUGAUGGCCUACCAAGGCGGUGACGGGUAGCCGGCCUGAGAGGGUGGGCGGCCACACUGGGACUGAGAUACGGCCCAGACUCCUGCGGGAGGCAGCAGUGGGGGGUAUUGCACAAUGGGCGGAAGCCUGAUGCAGCGACGUCGCGUGAGGGAUGGAGGCCUUCGGGUUGUGAACCUCUGUUUCCGGUGGUGAAGGCCCUGUCCGUGUGGUGGGGUUGACGGUAGCCGGGGAUGAAGCGCCGGCUAACUACGUG
rnacentral:rRNA from 1 species